rnacentral:rRNA from 1 species
UACAGAGGGUGCAAGCGUUGUUCGGAGUUACUGGGCGUAAAGGGUGUGUAGGCGGUUUUCUAAGUUUGGUGUGAAAUCUCCCGGCUCAACCGGGAGGGUGCGCCGAAAACUGGGAGACUAGAGUGCGGGAUGGGAGAGUAGAAUUCCUGGUGUAGCGGUGAAAUGCGUAGAUAUCAGGAGGAAUACCGGUGGUGUAGACGGCUCUCUGGACCGCCACUGACGCUGAGACACGAAAGCGUGGGUAGCAAACAGG